rnacentral:lncRNA from 1 species
GUUUAGGGGGGUGGGAUAUAUGGUUAAUAUCAUCAAUAACUUGACAUUUUUAUCUUUAUCUGAUAAACUCUAGUGUCAAGUAGUUCAGAACUCAAACACAGAACAAACAUGGGUUUUGUUUAGUAGUUUCUCUAAGAUACAUACUUUGGGACAUUGGUUGGAAACUUUGGGAAAAAUGAUACAAAGCAAAGGCUGGAGACCAAAUAACUGGCAGCACCAGGGGGUGUGGCUUUAGGCAUUAGCUUAAGUAAGAUUAACAACGACUGGCUGAAACCUUAGCAAUUUUCAGGGGCUCUGCUGCCCCAGGUGCCUGAAUUUUACAUUGGUGGAGAUAAUUUCUCAUUUGUAUAACCUGGACAAAUAUGUGAGAAUCAGACUCUGGUAAAUAUGAUUUCUGUGGAAUCUGGACCUUCUCAGAGCCCUGAAGUUUUGACAGUGUUGAUUGCAACACUGGUUGUUUGUAUCUGGUGUGGGAUUCCGCAGGUAGAGGCCAUGGACAUAAGACUCCACAAGCCUAAGAAGGAGGGCUCCUGACACGCAGUCCCUGCAGCAAGACCUUGACUUCCUCAGGCAUCUGUGCCACAGGCACAAUAGCUGCAUGGAUUAUUAGCAAAGAAAACCUUUUAGUCCCAGGGAAAGCUCACUUUACAAACAGCGGAGUCUCAGUUAUUGCUUCUGUUGGACUUUUCAGCCAUGUAUGCAGGUCAAGACACUGGGGCUUUGAACAAAAAAGGUGUCUGAAAUCUAUAAGAGCAUUUGAGGCUUAAAUUGUUAUUAUCAGAUAGCUCUAAAUUCUGCUGUCCUUUCAUGUUGUUUUUAAUUACCUCCUGGGCCAAGGAAAGGAACUGCAGUUUCUCCACAGGUUCUUAAGGGCAAUACUGAACCAGACAGCCUCAAAUAUGUUAAUUACACUCAGAAGUUACUAUGCUUUUAGAUUUAAGAAACUGAAAAUUAAGGCUUACAGCCGCAUAAGGAUGGCAAUUUGUAUUAAUACAUAAGAAAAGGGAUGUCCUUAUUAUAAGAAAAUAUGUCAUCUGCUUGAAAGAAGUUGAGAAAUAAUACAGUAAAAAUAUUAUAGGACGGCUGACAUCACCAAGAUGGCAAAUAGGAGGUCCUGGACUCUCUUUUCCCUCAUGACAUGGAUCCAACAGAAACACAUGUAUCAACUCUCUUCGUGAGAAAUCAAGAAUAUAGUAAGAGGAUUCUGCACCCCAGGUGAGUUAAAAACUAGCACCACCAAGACUGGUAGGUAAAGCAGAGACAUGCUUUCACCAAAAUGCCCACUCCCAGAACAGUCCCCUAUAGCUAGAAGAAAGCCUCCAGCUCCCAGCUUCUCCUGAAGAGCAAGUGAGGCUGCACAUCUAACACCCCACUUCCCUGGGUUCUGCCUGAGUGAAUGACUUCUCUCUUUCCUUUGAGAACUGAUGUAGUCUGGAAUUAUUGUAGUCCCUCAUGGGCUACAGAGAACAAAACAGCAGUCAGAACAACAUGCAGGCACUCACCACAGCUCUUCUCUCUGGCUCAAUGCAGGGUAGGUGGUGAUACACCCCAGCUUCCAACUUCCACUACCAAAGAAACUGGCUUCUAUCUUGCCUGUCUCAGACAUCUGACAGGGCCCAUCAUAUACUAGUCCCUGAUACAGAGCUCAAAGCCAUUUUUUAUUCAUUUUUUAUUUUUUUCUCAACGAAUUUAUUACAUUUAUAAUUGUACAAUGAUCAUCACAAUCCAAUUUUAUAGGAUUUCCAUCCCACAACCCAGCACCACCCCCACACCCUCUGAACUGUCUCCUUUGGAAACCAUAAGUUUUUCAAAGUCUGUGAGUCAGUAUCUGUUCUGCAAAGAAGUUCAUUCUGUCCUUUUUUCAGAUUGUACAUGUCAGUGAAAGCAUUUGAUGUUGGUGUCUCAUUGUUUGACUGACCUCACUUAGCAUGAUAGUUUCUAGGUCCAUCCAUGUUGCUAAAAAUGCCAGUAUUUCAUUCCUUUUAGUGGCUGAGUAAUAUUCCACUGUGUAUAUGUACCACAUCUUCUUGAUCCACUCCUCUGUCAGUGGGCAUUUAGGUUGUUUCCAUGUCUUGGCUAUUGCAAAUAGUGCUCCAAUGAACACUGGAGUACAUGUGUCUUUUCGAGUCAUGGUUUUCUCUGAAUAGAUGCCCAGGACUGAAGGCCUUCACCAGACUUGCCUUACAAGAAAUGCUAAAGGGAAUUCUUCAACUUAAAAUAAAAGACACAGACACCAACAUGAUAAUAUAGAAAGUACAGAAUUCAUUGCUAAAGAUAAGUAUAUUGACAAAUAUUAACAUAUUAGUAUUACAAUGCUAGGUAAAUCGCUUUUAAUUCUCAUAUAAAAGUUUUUAAAGGUAUUAAAAUAACUAUAACACAUUAAUGAACAUAUAUAUAAGUUGUGAUAUCAAUGACAAAGUGUUGAAAGGAAUAAAACUGUAGAAAUUUUGUAUGCAAUAAAAAUUAACUUGCGAGAGAAGGCAAGAUGGUGGAAGAGUAGGGGGACACGCUCACCCUCUCCCACAAAUACAACAAAAAAAAAACACAUCUACAUGUUAAAUGACUUGCAUAGAACAACAACUAAAUGCUGGCAGAAGAACUUAAACUUCCAAUAAUGGCAAGAAUCUGAUGACAUAACUGGGUAAAAUAAGAGAAAAGAGAGUGAGAGAAGGGGAAUCGGGACCAGACGGGCACUCCCAAAAGGGAACUGUGAAAGGAGAAAAGGAACCCACACCCUGGAAAGUCACCUAAUUGAUGGAAAGAUCAACCGAGUUGGAGGGAUCUCCAGACACCGAGAAGAGCACAGCAAUAAGUCUGGGAUCUGAAAAGCAGAGUGAGAGCCGAACAGAUCAUCUGAACUACUGGCACAGUCACCAAAAACCAAGAUGUUUGGGUGGGGGCUGGGCACGAAGACCUCGGCUCUCCUGAGGUUAGUCCCCAGGAGCGUGCUGGGGUUGGCGGUGCGGAGACAUCCUGGGGAACUAGGAAGCGGUUGGUCAGGUUGGCAGUGUGGAGAUAGCUUGGGGGACUAGGAAGCGGUGGGUCGGCUUGGUGGUGAGGAGACAGCCUGAGGGAUUAGAAAGCCGUGCCUCACAGGUGGAGGGAGCAAUAUACUAAGGGCUGGGGAGUGGAAAGCCACAACAGAGGAAGCCUGGGAAAAGAGCUGGACCCACAGGAGAGACAAGGCACCAGUGUUGGGGAGGGGAGGAGAGGAGAGGAGGGGCCAGCCGCCAUAGAAUACUCUUUGCACCCCAGUGAGCAUGCUUGCCCACCAGCUAACAGAGAGCAGUGCUACCCAGUGCAUACCCCCUCCCCUACCCUGGUGCCUGACCUGAGGUUGCCUGCCAUCCUAGAGGGCUGGCCUCACCACUUGCAGGAAGUCAACCACCUCAGGGGCUUUCCCCACCCUGGCCUGCCCACCCUCUGGAGGGGAUACAUUCUCACUGAGCAGCACCCAGCACCACCAGCCCCCUGGAAGAGCUCUGCAGCCCAGAAACGCCAGAGGAAGCUCUGCCAGGCCACAGGAAGUCUGCCUCCAUCGUGCUGGGCAGUCCUGCCAGUUCCAGCUGCCCAAAGUGCCCCUUUGUCUCCCAGUGGCCCGGCUAGCCGCUCCCACCUUCAGGAGGUGCUGCACUCCCGUGGAGCAGUUGCCCAGCACCACCAACCCCCUGGAAGAGCUCUGUGGCCCAGAAGCACUAGGGCAAGACCCGCUGGGCAACAGGAAGUGUGCCUCCAUCGUGGGGCUCCUGCCAGUUCUGGCUGCCCUGGGGAAGUGCUUCUUUGUCUCCCAGCAGCCUGCCUAGCCACUCCUGCCCUCGGAAGGUGCUGCACUCCCAUGGAGCAGCUGCCCAUAACUGCGUGCCCCCUGGAAGAGCUCCACAGCCCAGAAAUGCCAGAGCAAGCUCUGCCCAGCACAGGAAGACUGCCUCCAUCAUGGUGUGGACCUGCCAGUCCCACCUUCCCUCAGGAAGUCCUCCUUUGCUUCACAGUGACCCUGCUAGCCCCCCCACCACCCUCAGGAAAUGCCCUGCUGCCUCAAAGAAGACCGGCCAACACUGCCAGCCCUUGGGAAACACUCCACAGCAAUGCCAGGGCAAACACUGCCCGGCCACGGAGAGUACACCUCCACCAAGAAAAAGAAAAUAACAAGCAAGAUGAAGAAGCUCAGAAACCAUUCCCAGUUAAACCAACAGGAGAACUCACCUAAAGCAGUCAAAAAUGAAACAGACCUCUGCAGUCUGACAGACUUUGAGUUCAAAAGGGAGAUAGUGAAAAUACUGAAGGAAUUAAGAGAAGAUAUGAACAGUAAUGCAGACACUCUCAGAAAGGAGCUAGAAAAUAUCAGGAGGAGCCAAGAAAAACUAGAACAUUCAUUUGCAGAGAUACAAACUGAGCUAAGAGCAGUAAAAACCAGAAUGAAUAAUGCAGAAGAACGAAUUAGUGAUGUGGAAGAGAGAAUAAUGGAAAUCACCCAAUCAGGACAGCAGACAGAAAACCAAAUGAAAAAAACAUGAAAGCAAUAUAAGAGAUCUAUGGGAUAAUAUAAAGUGGGCCAAUCUAUGCAUAAUAGAAAUUCCAGAAGGAGUAGAAAAAGAUAAGGGGAUGGAAGAUAUAUUUGAAGAAAUUAUUGCUGGAAACUUCACAAAUCUAAAGGAAACUGAUUUCAAGAUACAGGAAGCACAGAGAGCCCCAAACAAGUUGAACCCAAAUAGACCCACACCAAGACACAUUAUAAUAAAAAUGGCAAAAGUUAUUGAUAAAGGGAAGAUCCUAAAGGCAGCAAGAGAAAAGCAAAAUGUCACUUAUAAGGGAACCCCCAUAAGGCUAUCAUCUGAUUUCUCUAUAGAAACUCUACAGGCCAGGAGGGAAUGGCAAGAGAUAUUUAAAACACUGAGAAAAAAUAUGCAACCUAGAAUACUCUCUCCAGCAAGAAUAUCAUUUAAAAUAGAAGGGAAAAUAUAAAUUUUUUCCAACAAAUAAAAGCUAAAAUAAUACAGCAAUACAAAACCCAUUCUAAAAAAAUAUCGAAAGGGUUUCUUUAAAUCAAAAAAAAAAAAAAAAAAAAAAAAAAGAGAGAGAGAGAGAGAGAGGAAGGACUAGGAUGGAGGAAACCACAAUCAGAGAGCAGUCACUCAAAUAAGUCAGCCUACAGAUCUAAUCAUGAACAGGUAUAAAACAAAAUAAAAUUAAAAAGAAAGAAAGAGACAUCCAAAAUCAUAAAAUGUGGAUAAGGGAAGUAGGAAAUAAAAAGAUUAUUUUUUAAAAUUUCUUUCUUUUUUUAAUUUUAGUAUGGUAGUGAAGUGUUUGAACCUACAGGACUAUCAGGCUAAAACACACAAUUAUAAGAAGGGGUUAACAUACUUAAAAAACAGGGCAACCACAAGCCAAAACCAAACAUUGCAUUCACAAAAAAUCAAAGAAAAACACUCGAGCAGAAAAUAAUUGGAGACCAUCCAACUAAAAAAGGAAAGAAUGGAGAAUCAUAGAAUCAACUGGAAAAUGAGGUUUAAAAUGGCAAUAAAUAAUCAUCUACCAAUUAUCACUUUAAAUGUCAAUGGACUGAAUGCUCCAAUCAAAAGACACAGAGUGGCUAAUUGGAUAAAAAAAUAAAAAUCUUCAAUCUGCUGCCUACAGGAAACUCACCUUAGGACGAAGGACACAUAUAGAUUGAAAGUGAGGGGGUGGGAAAAAAAUAUUUCAUGCCAAUAGACAUGACAGGAAAGCAGGAGUUGCAAUACUCAUAUCAGACAAAAUAAACUUUAAAAAUGAAAGCCAUAAAGAAAGACAAAGAAGGACACUAUUUAAUGAUUAAAGGAUCCAUUCAAGAAAAGGAUAUUACUAUCAUCAACAUAUAUGCCCCAAAUAUAGGAGCACCCAGAUGCAUACAACAAAUAUUAACAGACAUAAAUGGAGAAAUUGAUGGGAAUACAAUCAUAGUAGGAGACUUUAAUACCCCACUCACACCAAUGGACAGAUCCUGUAGACAUAAAACCAAUAAAGCAACAGAGAUCUUGAAGGAAACAAUAGAAAAGUUAGACUUAAUUGACAUCUUCAGGACACUACAUCCAAAAAAAUCAGAAUACACACUCUUCUCAAGUGUACAUGGAACAUUCUAAAGAAUUGAUCACAUACUGGGGCACAAAGCUAACCUCAACAAAUUUAGGAGCAUAGAAAUUAUUUCAAGUAUCUUCUCUGACCACAAUGGCAUGAAACUAGAAAUAAACCACAGGAAAAGAAAUGAGAAAAAACCUACUACAUGGAGACUAAAAACCAUGCUACUAAAAAACCAAUGGGUCGAUGAGGAAAUCAAGAAGGAAAUUAAAAGAUACCUCAAGACAAAUGAUAACGAAGGCACAACCACUCAAAAUCUAUGGGACACCACAAAAGCAGUGCUCAGAGGGAAAUUCAUAGCAAUACAGGCCUUCCUCAAAAAAUAAGAAAGAUCUCAAAUUGACAACUUAACCCAACACCUAAAUGAAUUAGGAAAAGAAGAACAAAAAAGACCUAAAGUCAGCAGAAGGAAGGAAAUUAUAACGAUCAAAGAGGAAAUCAAUAAAAUAGAGAUUCAAAAAACAAUAGAAAAAAUUAAUAAAACCAAGAGCUGGUUCUUUGAAAAGGUAAACAAAAUUGACAAACCCCUGGUGAGACUCACUAAGAAGAGGAGAGAAAGAACCCAAAUAAACAAAAUUAGAAAUGAAAAGGAGAAAUCACAACCGAUACUGAAGAAAUACAAAAAAACAUGAGAGAAUACUAUCAGCAAUUAUAUGCCAACAAAUUUGACAACCUAGAAGAAAUGGAUAACUUUGUAGAGACAUCCUGCUAAAACUGAAUCAAGAAGAAACAGAUCAGUUGAACAGACCGAUCACUAGAAGGGAAACUGAAUAUGUCAUAAACACACUCCCUACAAAUAAAAGGACCAGAUGGCUUCACAGGUGAAUUCUACCAAACAUACAAAGAGGAUCUGGUGCCCAUCCUCCUUAAACUUUUUCA